rnacentral:tRNA from 1 species
CCAUCGGUGGUUCAGUGGUUGAGUGCUCGCCUGCCACGCGGGCGGCCCGGGUUCGACUCCCGGCCGACGCA